CCUACGGGCGGCAGCAGUGAGGAAUAUUGGUCAAUGGACGAGAGUCUGAACCAGCCACGUAGCGUGAAGGAUGACUGCCCUAUGGGUUGUAAACUUCUUUUAUAUGGGAAUAAAACGUUCCACGUGUGGGAUUUUGUAUGUACCAUAUGAAUAAGGAUCGGCUAACUCCGUGCCAGCAGCCGCGGUAAUACGGAGGAUCCGAGCGUUAUACGGAUUUAUUGGGUUUAAAGGGAGCGUAGGUGGAUUGUUAAGUCAGUUGUGAAAGUUUGCGGCUCAACCGUAAAAUUGCAGUUGAAACUGGCAGUCUUGAGUACAGUAGAGGUGGGCGGAAUUCGUGGUGUAGCGGUGAAAUGCUUAGAUAUCACGAAGAACUCCGAUUGCGAAGGCAGUUCACUGGACUGCAACUGACACUGAGGCUCGAAAGUGUGGGUAUCAAACAGGAUUAGAUACCCUGGUAGUC
rnacentral:rRNA from 1 species